rnacentral:rRNA from 1 species
AUGAGGAGGAGGCACAUCAGGGAUGAUGCUAUAUGCCCAAUGUGUGGGAGCGACGAUGAGUCCUUAUUUCAUGCACUAUUCCGGUGCGAUCACGCAUUGAUGUUCUGGGAGGCGGCCAAGGAUUCUUUUGGCCUUACAGUGCCGAGACUGCACCCAUUGACAUGGUCUAAGGAUAUACUGGACCAUGAGGUGAUUAAAAGGAAGGAUGCAGCAGUUCUGGUGUCAGUCAUGUGGGCAAUUUGGACGAACCGUAACAAGUAUACGCAUAAUGAGAUUCAGUACCAGCCGAUCAAAUCAAUGGAAUUAAUUAGAGAACUCAUUAUGGCGAUUGAUGUCCCUAAUACCACUGCUGUCAAAUCCAUAGAAAGGCAGAAGUCGAAGGCGCCAGCUCAGGGGUGGGUGAAGAUGAAUACUGAUGGAGCAGUACAUGAGACUAAUACGUGCUCAGGAGAGGGCAUAGUAGUAAGGGAUCAACAGGGUGUAUUCAGACUGGGGCAGUGCAUCAAAUAG